rnacentral:tRNA from 1 species
GGGGGCGUGGCGGAACUGGCAGACGCAAGGGACUUAAAAUCCCUGGGCCCGCAGGGCCGUUCCGGGUUCGAGUCCCGGCGCCCCCA